rnacentral:lncRNA from 1 species
GAAUUAAUAUGUACUUGAAGGAAUAUCAAGAAUAAGGUAUUACGAUACCUGUAAAUUCGAUGUGAACUGAAUAGUCUAAGAAAUGUUAUAUAAGUACAUAUGGAAAUUUUAUUAUUGGAGAUAAGAUUUCACAGGAAGAGAUGCUAUGUGCUAUAUAUAUAUAUAUAUAUAUAUAUAUAUAUAUUUUAGCAAGAGGAAUGAUGAAUCAAGUUAAUGAUCAAGAUAAAACUAUGUUAGUAAUUAACAUAGCUUGAGUGUUGGCCUUGACUGACAAAUAAGAAUUUGAAGAAGUAUAAGGUCGUUAGUUAAUACGAUUAGUAAUGAGAAUGGAGUAAUUUAAAACUCAAAAUUUGAGUUAGAGAUAGAAUUUUGAAGCAUGGACUGCUCGAUUGCGUCCAAAACGUCGAGUUUAGUCAGAAUGGACAGUAAGCACAAAAUGUGUAAAGAUUGACUUUUGGUCAAAGUCAACAGUUAACUUUUUAUGGAGAAAAGUCAAAAUUAGUGUGAGAAGUGAAAUAUGUUAUGAUUAUAUGAAUUAUGGAUAUGAGUAAAUAAAUAUACAUUAUAUAAUGUGAAUACAUUUAUUUUGUAUAUAAG